GUAAUGAUUAGGAAUCUGCCCAGUAGUGGGGGACAACAGUCGGAAACGGCUGCUAAUACCGCAUACGCCCUACGGGGGAAAGCAGGGGAUCUUCGGACCUUGCGCUAUUGGAUGAGCCUAAGUCGGAUUAGCUAGUUGGUGGGGUAUAGGCCUACCAAGGCGACGAUCCGUAGCUGGUCUGAGAGGAUGAUCAGCCACAUCGGGACUGAGACACGGCCCGAACUCCUACGGGAGGCAGCAGUGGGGAAUAUUGGACAAUGGGGGCAACCCUGAUCCAGCCAUGCCGCGUGUGUGAAGAAGGCUUUCGGGUUGUAAAGCACUUUCAGCGAGGAGGAAGGCCUUAAAGUUAAUACCUUUAGGGAUUGACGUUACUCGCAGAAGAAGCACCGGCUAACUCCGUGCCAGCAGCCGCGGUAAUACGGAGGGUGCAAGCGUUAAUCGGAAUUACUGGGCGUAAAGCGCGCGUAGGUGGUUUGGUAAGCGAGAUGUGAAAGCCCCGGGCUUAACCUGGGAACGGCAUUUCGAACUGUCAGACUAGAGUGUGGUACAGGGUAGUGGACUUUCCUGUGUA
rnacentral:rRNA from 1 species